rnacentral:rRNA from 1 species
CGAGAACGGACUUAAGCUUGCUUAAGUUGUCAGCUAAGUGGCGCACGGGUGAGUAAUAUAUAGGUAAUGUGCCCUAGAGAGGGGGAUAACAGUUGGAAACGACUGCUAACACCCCAUAUGCCCUUAAGACAAAAGUCUGCAGGGGAAAUAUUUAUAGCUCUAGGAUCGGCCUGUACGGUAUCAGCUUGUUGGUGAGGUAAUGGCUCACCAAGGCUAUGACGCCUAACUGGUUUGAGAGGAUGAUCAGUCACACUGGAACUGAGACACGGUCCAGACUCCUACGGGAGGCAGCAGUGGGGAAUAUUGCACAAUGGGGGAAACCCUGAUGCAGCAACGCCGCGUGGAGGAUGACACAUUUCGGUGCGUAAACUCCUUUUAUAUAGGAAGAUAAUGACGGUACUAUAUGAAUAAGCACCGGCUAACUCCGUGCCAGCAGCCGCGGUAAUACGGAGGGUGCAAGCGUUACUCGGAAUCACUGGGCGUAAAGAGCGUGUAGGCGGGUUAUUAAGUCAGAUGUGAAAGCCUAUGGCUCAACCAUAGAACUGCAUUUGAAACUGAUAACCUAGAGUAUGGGAGAGGUAGAUGGAAUUUCUGGUGUAGGGGUAAAAUCCGUAGAGAUCAGAAGGAAUACCGAUUGCGAAGGCGAUCUACUGGAACAUUACUGACGCUGAGACGCGAAAGCGUGGGGAGCAAACAGGAUUAGAUACCCUGGUAGUCCACGCCCUAAACGAUGUACACUAGUUGUUGCCAUGCUAGACAUGGCAGUAAUGCAGUUAACACAUUAAGUGUACCGCCUGGGGAGUACGGUCGCAAGAUUAAAACUCAAAGGAAUAGACGGGGACCCGCACAAGCGGGGGAGCAUGUGGUUUAAUUCGACGAUACGCGAAGAACCUUACCUGGACUUGACAUAGUAAGAACUUUCUAGAGAUAGAUUGGUGUCUGCUUGCAGAAACUUAUAUACAGGUGCUGCACGGCUGUCG